rnacentral:rRNA from 1 species
GACGAACGCUGGCGGCGCGCUUAACACAUGCAAGUCGAGCGAGAACCAAGCCUUCGGGCCUGGGGAAAGCGGCGAACGGGUGAGUAACACGUGGGUAACCCACCCUUGGUACCGGGAUAGCCCGAGGAAACUCGGAUUAAUACCGGAUGGCCCAACAGCUUUUCGGAGCGGUUGGAAAAGGUAGCUUCGGCCUCCGACCAAGGACGGGCCCGCGGCGGAUUAGCUUGUUGGUGAGGUAACGGCUCACCAAGGCGACGAUCCGAGCUGGUCUGAGAGGACGAUCAGCCACACUGGGACUGAGACACGGCCCAGACUCCUACGGGAGGCAGCAGUGGGGAAUCUUGCGCAAUGGGCGAAAGCCUGACGCAGCGACGCCGCGUGGGGAAGAA